AGUGAACGCUGGCGGUAGGCCUAACACAUGCAAGUCGAACGGCAGCACAGUAAGAGCUUGCUCUUACGGGUGGCGAGUGGCGGACGGGUGAGGAAUACAUCGGAAUCUACUUUUUCGUGGGGGAUAACGUAGGGAAACUUACGCUAAUACCGCAUACGACCUACGGGUGAAAGCAGGGGAUCUUCGGACCUUGCGCGAUUGAAUGAGCCGAUGUCGGAUUAGCUAGUUGGCGGGGUAAAGGCCCACCAAGGCGACGAUCCGUAGCUGGUCUGAGAGGAUGAUCAGCCACACUGGAACUGAGGCACGGUCCAGACUCCUACGGGAGGCAGCAGUGGGGAAUAUUGGACAAUGGGCGCAAGCCUGAUCCAGCCAUACCGCGUGGGUGAAGAAGGCCUUCGGGUUGUAAAGCCCUUUUGUUGGGAAAGAAAAGCAGCAGAUUAAUACCCCGCUGUUCUGACGGUACCCAAAGAAUAAGCACCGGCUAACUUCGUG
rnacentral:rRNA from 1 species